rnacentral:lncRNA from 1 species
AUCCAGAGAUUCUAAUGUUAUAGGAAUUGUUUUCUAUCCAACAGCAUGAUGUGGAGCAACUGAAAAAAAGCAGCUCUCUAAGGCAACAUUGACCUUCAAGUGGUGAUACAACUUGAGGUUUCAUGUGAGUCUGGCUCAACACUGUGUUGUCCAAAUGGCCAGCUGGAGGUAAAACAGAGACUAUUUAAAGGCACAGCCACACAACCUUGUGCACAAACUUCUGUCUUCCACUUGGAGCUUUUGUUAUCCUUAAAAUAUAGAUAACAAG